GGCAGCCGCGCGCUGCUGCCGACACGCCGUUACGUUAUUCGGCAGCGACCUCGCCGCGGUCCGGCAGUUGCGCGCGCUGGAGUGUGCGACGUGUGAUUCGAAUUCGAUACACCGAGUGUGUUAUGUCUUGUAUCCAACGGAUGCGCCGAGGAACGCGCUCGACUCCGGCGUCCAAGAAACUGGUUCAUCCGGGGACAUCGACUCGCGAGAGAGAAUCCAUCGGAACGUGCUUAAUUAAAUAUCGUAUGUAACCAUCCGGGUCGGAUCUUUUCAGCCGGAGGAGGACGCGACCCCGGGAGUCUUCGACCGACCGAUAUUCCUUCGGUGCCAAGAAAGUAUCCCGCAGCCGACGCAACGUUCCGAAUAAUCGAACGUCUAAUACGUUCCUAUUUGAUGACAGCGAGGGAGCAUAAACGAAAAGGAGUCAGCAAGAGAGAAAGAGAAGGAGAAAGGGUAAAUGUUAAUAUUAGUGUCGACUUCAUCGAUUUCAAUAAUCUCAACAUGUAUCAUCAAGGACAUGGUUUGACCACCUUGCAAAAAGCUUCAGCCAUCACUUAUUGUUUAUUAAAAAGUUAUCAACAAGAGAAGUUUUAUAAUUGGAACUUAUUUUUCCGACACAAUGUACGUAUAAAAAUGUUAAACAUAUAAGGCAGAGAAGGAGAGAAAGAGAAAGCGAGAGACACACGAAUACGCGCAAAGGUAGCCGCGCCCUUUAAAGAGAAUAUAACUACGGCGAAUGUGGCCAUUAUCUCACAACCAUGUAAAAGUACUCCAGGGAAACCGCCGUGGUGCUGCGCGCAUCGCCGUGUAGUGUCCCACACGACUACUCACCUCGAAUCGUUUCGCACCGCGCGGAGAAUAGUCCCCGGUAUAAAUUCCCUCCAUAUUUCCCCGCUUUCAUUGCCGCCUGCAUCGCACGAAUCUGUUCCACUUUUCGCGCGCGCGCUUUUCGUUCUCAACACUUUCCCAGGCAUUAAAGCGUGAAGAGAGCGCCGCGAGACGGCGACAGAGGGUGAGGCCCCGAGCGUUCCCCUGCUCCCCCUUCUUCGCCCCUCGAUUUAUAUCGGCCAUGCCGCAGCGACGUGAGCAAUAAUAGGAACUUUAGACCGGCUCUACGGCGCGAACGUGGUCGCGCUUGUAUCCACGGGCGUUGCUCCUCGCAAUUGCAUUUCGUUUUGCGCGCCAGGUAGGUAGGUAGGUAGGUAGAUAGCCGCACUCGUUGUUACACACGCCGCAGAUAGGUAGUUUACUCGGCUACUUGUCUUAUUGCCACUUCAACUCGCGUAUCCGCGCUAUGGCGGGGAUAUUUGUUUAAUGUCCGGCACGGUAGACUGCUUCGUGCGUCUUGUAACCGCGCUUUAACAACGACCAAAGCCCCGGCUCUCCGUCCGCAGCGAGGAAAUCCGUGCUACCACGGUGUUUCGUUAAUCCGCGGGACGAUGCCUGAAAUUUCGCGCAGGGCGAGGACGCCGCGGGUCGUUCGCGGCUCUAUAGAGUCGAUUUAUCUUGAUAAAGAAGUCAGAAGUUCCGGUUACAAGUGGGAAGGAACAGCCCGCUACAUCACUUGCUUCUGUUCGUUCACGUAACAAGUUCUUGGCACAUCGAAGGAAGGGAAAAACGCAGGAGAUCUUCCCGACUCGACGUCAUGCGAGAUAAAACUAGGCAGAUCGGUGUGCGAAAUUAGGUUGCCAGCUUAUUUUUCUGGCAAGCGCCGCAGCGCACAUUGCCGAGUGCCCGAGAUACUUUUUUUUAUGGGAAAAUGUAGAUUGAUUGAUUCAGCGAGUUGUAGGCGGAUCAAUUUUCAUCAUCGUCAGAACGUAGGACAGUCGACGACGGCAAACUUAUAAUUUUUCAAUUAUACUGAA